CCUACGGGGAGCAGCAGUAGGGAAUAUUGCUCAAUGGGGGAAACCCUGAAGCAGCAACGCCGCGUGGAGGAUGAAGGUUUUCGGAUUGUAAACUCCUUUUGUUAGAGAAGAUAAUGACGGUAUCUAACGAAUAAGCACCGGCUAACUCCGUGCCAGCAGCCGCGGUAAUACGGAGGGUGCAAGCGUUACCCGGAAUCACUGGGCGUAAAGGGCGCGUAGGCGGGAUAGCAAGUCAGAUGUGAAAUCCUAUGGCUUAACCAUAGAACUGCAUUGGAAACUGUUAUUCUAGAGUAUGGGAGAGGUAGGUGGAAUUCUUGGUGUAGGGGUAAAAUCCGUAGAGAUCAAGAGGAAUACUCAUUGCGAAGGCGACCUGCUAGAACAUAACUGACGCUGAUGCGCGAAAGCGUGGGGAGCAAACAGGAUUAGAUACCCGAGUAGUC
rnacentral:rRNA from 1 species